rnacentral:rRNA from 1 species
UGCUACACUAACUGCCGUCAUGCAUCGAUUGGGUUGGGGAGAACAGGUCGGUGGAGAUUCAGCUCGAUCCAGAGUGUUGCAAUCCGCCAGGCAAUGGAGCCCCAUCCGAUCGGAUACAAGGUGCAUUGGUUGCGGUCAUUAGCCGCCCGUCUUGAAACACGGACCAAGGAGUGUACCUUGCAUGCAAGUCUAAUGGACUGGAAUCCACUAGGCGUAGCGAAAGCGACGAGAGCGAAUCCCUCACCGGAGGAUGCUCCACCUGCCUGUGUAAGGUUGAGCAUGUAGGGUGCGACCCGAAAGAUGGUGAACUAUGCCCGGGUAAGGUGAAGCCAGUGGAAACGCUGGUGGAAGCCUGUAGCGGUUYUGACGUGCAGAUCGAUCGUGUAACCUGGGUAUAGGGGCGAAAGACCUAACGAACCGUCUAAUGGCUGGUUCCCCCCGAAGUUUCCCUCAGGAUAGCUGUGUCUAAGUAGUGCCAGUUGCACGCGGUA